rnacentral:snRNA from 1 species
GUGCUCGCUUCGGCAGCACAUAUACUAAAAUUGGAACGAUACAGAGAAGAUUAGCAUGGCCCCUGCACAGGGGUCCAAGAAUGUGUUUUCAGGGAUGUGCAUAUUCUAAAUUUUU